rnacentral:rRNA from 1 species
CACGUAGGGCGCAAGCGUUGUCCGGAAUUAUUGGGCGUAAAGAGCUCGUAGGCGGUCUGUUACGUCUGCUGUGAAAACCCAGGGCUUAACCCUGGGCUUGCAGUGGAUACGGGCAGACUAGAGGCAGGUAGGGGAGAAUGGAAUUCCCGGUGUAGCGGUGAAAUGCGUAGAUAUCUGGAGGAACACCGGUGGCGAAGGCGGCGUCCUGGACCAACACUGACACUGAGGAGCGAAAGCCAGGGGAGCAAACGGG